GUGACUACUUGGGUUGUCUCUGCUCAUAU
rnacentral:piRNA from 1 species